rnacentral:tRNA from 1 species
GCGGGAUUGGUUUAAUGGUAGAACAUCAGUUUUCCAAACUGAGGGUGGGAGUUCGAUUCUCCCAUCCCGCA